rnacentral:misc_RNA from 1 species
GCAGCAACAGGCCCAAGAGGCAUAUGACGAAGAUGACGACGAUAUGCAUGGUGGUGCACAGAGAGUGCAAUGUGCACAACAGUAAUUUGAUACUCUCUUUUUCGGUAGAUAGCAGUACUUAAUUUCGUCAAGUAUAUCAAUCUCCCUGUUCUUGGGUUUGAUAAUAGGGCUGAUAUAAGAAUUGACAGUCAGGAACAACAUUGCUCUAGUAGGAGAUAUAGAUUAUUACUAUUGACUUUGAAAUUUUAUUUAUGCAUAAAACUGUGAGCAAAAUUUUGUGACCUGGGAUUAUUAGAUGUUGUGUUAUUAUAUCUGUCUUCAGGAGCCCCAUUACCUAUCGAGGAACCGAGGCUUGCGGUAGUAUCGAUACAAGAAAAAUCUACUCUAUACUAUAUAUAUGGUUGCAGGGGCAUAGCUAGGCCACCUAUGGUGGCCAAUUAGACACCAUUCGUUAAAAAAUUUCGAU